rnacentral:rRNA from 1 species
GACGAACGCUGGCGGCGUGCUUAACACAUGCAAGUCGAACGAUGAAGCCGGAGCUUGCUCUGGUGAAUUAGUGGCGAACGGGUGAGUAACACGUGAGUAACCUGCCCUUGACUCUGGGAUAACUGCGGGAAACUGUAGCUAAUACCGGAUACGACCCUCGGAGGCAUCUCCUGGGGGUGGAAAGAAUUUCGGUCAAGGAUGGACUCGCGGCCUAUCAGCUAGUUGGUGAGGUAAAGGCUCACCAAGGCGACGACGGGUAGCCGGCCUGAGAGGGUGACCGGCCACACUUGGAAUGAGACACGGCCCAGACUCCUACGGGAGGCAGCAGUGGGGAAUAUUGCACAAUGGGCGCAAGCCUGAUGCAGCAACGCCGCGUGAGGGAUGACGGCCUUCGGGUUGUAAACCUCUUUUAGCAGGGAAGAAGCGAAAGUGACGGUACCUGCAGAAAAAGCACCGGCUAACUACGUGCCAGCCGCCGCGGUAA